rnacentral:rRNA from 1 species
UGAUGGAGGGGGAUAACUACUGGAAACGGUAGCUAAUACCGCAUAACGUCGCAAGACCAAAGUGGGGGACCUUCGGGCCUCAUGCCAUCAGAUGUGCCCAGAUGGGAUUAGCUGGUAGGUGGGGUAACGGCUCACCUAGGCGACGAUCCCUAGCUGGUCUGAGAGGAUGACCAGCCACACUGGAACUGAGACACGGUCCAGACUCCUACGGGAGGCAGCAGUGGGGAAUAUUGCACAAUGG